rnacentral:rRNA from 1 species
AUGGCAUACGCUGACCCCUUUGACCGCACAUGGCGAUGUGAUUUUUUGCAUUUAAGUCCCUUUGUCAUAGAGCACAUCGGCCCCGUCACUUCAUUUCAUAAUUGCAGAGAGAGUAAAGAGGAAAGGGGGAGCGGAGAGAGCGGAGGCGAUCAUGGUCGCGUUGCAUCUCCGCUAGGGUUUCCUAUCGCGGCGGCUACCAUGACCAGCAGAGGUGGUCCAUCGGCCGGAGCAGAAGACGCCGCCGACUCGCUAGAUGUUGCGGGAAGCAGCGAUGGCCAGAAGCUCUUCCUCCUUCGACCUGAUCAUGUGCGCACGCCGGCAUAUGAGAAGUACAAUUAUGACUACCCAUGCAGUCUAGGUAUAAAUCAUGGUGGGUUUUUCGUUGGGCAAAGUAACUACAGGAGUUAUUGCAAUGGAAAAACUGCUUGGUAUGAUUAUGUGUUCUCUGCAAAAUUGACCAUGUCUGAAUUGGAAAGAAUAGUUGAAGAUCUAGGCUAUGAGACGGUAGGUAAAUUGGAUGUGUAUUGGUGUUUGCCAGGGUUACAAGUUAGCACUGGUGGACUUAGGAAAAUGAUAUCUCAGGAGGCUUGUGACAAUAUUAGUGCUUGUGUUGUAUUUGGACAUAAGGAAAUUCAGCUAUACCUUGACCAUGAUGAGAGCUACAGAAGCAUAGAUUGGGAUGAUGUUGUGGUCUUUCCUGUUUCUGAUUUACCUCCUGCGAUCAGUCCUAGGAAAGUAAAAGAGGAGAAAUUUGUAGAGAGAAUGACUGAGCAUAAUAGGAUUGAGGAGCAUGGAAAUGACAAUGUAGAUGAGGCUGUGCACUCUAUGGCAAAGGAGCAAGGAAAUGACAAUUCAAAGGUAAAUGUGCAAUAUGAGGAUGUGCAAAACAUGGAAGAGGGGCAAGCUGAUGAUCAAUUUAGUGAGGAAGAAAUUGAGCAGUAUAUGGCAGAUGUUGAGGUUAACUAUGAGGAAGUUGUUGUAGAAGAGGAUGAAGAAGCAGCUAUGUAUGAUGAAGCUGUUAUGGAAGAGGAAGCAUAUAUGGAAGAGGAAGCAUAUAUGGAAGAGGAAGAUGCUCAGUCAAAUGUAGAUGAUGGGAGUAUUUCUCAUGCUGGAAGAGGAGGUAGUGAUUCAGACAAUGAGGAUGCUUUAGUGGACAGUGACUAUGUUAUAUCUGAUGGAGAUGCAGAUUUUUUGGAAGAUCAGAUUGAAGAGGUGGAAGUAGAUAUAAAAGGAAAGAAAGUUGCAGAUGUUGAAGCUUAUUCAGAUGAGGAAGAUCUUCAAUGCCAGAUUCAGAUGAAGAUGAGUUGA